rnacentral:rRNA from 1 species
UACGUAGGGCGCAAGCGUUGUCCGGAAUUAUUGGGCGUAAAGAGCUCGUAGGCGGCUUGUCACGUCGGUUGUGAAAGCCCGGGGCUUAACCCCGGGUCUGCAGUCGAUACGGGCAGGCUAGAGUGUGGUAGGGGAGAUCGGAAUUCCUGGUGUAGCGGUGAAAUGCGCAGAUAUCAGGAGGAACACCGGUGGCGAAGGCGGAUCUCUGGGCCUGUUCUGACGCUGAGGAGCGAAAGCGUGGGGAGCGAACAGG